CAGCAGCCGCGGUAAUACGAAGGGGGCUAGCGUUGUUCGGAAUUACUGGGCGUAAAGCGCACGUAGGCGGAUAUUUAAGUCAGGGGUGAAAUCCCAGAGUUCAACCCUGGAACUGCCUUUGAUACUGGGUAUCUUGAGUAUGGAAGAGGUGAGUGGAAUUCCGAGUGUAGCGGUGAAAUGCGUAGAUAUCGGAAGGAACACCUGUGGCGAAAGCGGCUCACUGGACCAUAACAGACGCUGAUGCACGAAAGCUAGGGGAGCAAACAGGAUUAGAUACCCCUGUAGUCCCUGUCUCUUAUAC
rnacentral:rRNA from 1 species